AGAACGAACGCUGGCGGCAUGCCUAACACAUGCAAGUCGAACGAGACCUUCGGGUCUAGUGGCGCACGGGUGCGUAACGCGUGGGAAUCUGCCCUUAGGUUCGGAAUAACUCGGAGAAAUCCGUGCUAAUACCGGAUGAUGACGUAAGUCCAAAGAUUUAUCGCCUAAGGAUGAGCCCGCGUAGGAUUAGCUUGUUGGUGAGGUAACGGCUCACCAAGGCAACGAUCAGUAU
rnacentral:rRNA from 1 species